CUACGGGUCGCACCAGUUAGGCAUCAUCUACAAUGCACGAAAGUGUGAUAGUUUGAGCCAGAGUGUUUCUCAACGAGAAACUUUUGCUAAGUGUAAAAAGCUUGGCGAAUAAGGACUGGGUAAGACGAGUGCCAGCCGCCGCGGUAAUACUCGCGGUCCAAGUCGCAUCCAUUUUUAUUGGGUCUAAAACAUCCGUAGCUUGCUUUGUAAGUCUCUUGUGAAAUCUCAUAUCUCAAGUAUGAGGCGCGCAGGAGAUACUGCACUGCUAGAGACUGGAAGACGUAACGAGUACGCUGGAGGUAGUGGUAAAAUAUGUUAAUCUCCAGCGGACUAACAAUAGCGAAGGCAUGUUACGAGGACAGUUCUGACAGUCAGGGAUGAAGGCCAGGGGCGCAAAACGGAUUAGAUACCCGCGUAGUC
rnacentral:rRNA from 1 species